UCGCCUACGGGAGGCAGCAGUAGGGAAUCUUCCACAAUGGGCGAAAGCCUGAUGGAGCAACGCCGCGUGGGUGAAGAAGGUCUUCGGAUCGUAAAACCCUGUUGUUAGAGAAGAAAGUGCGUGAGAGUAACUGUUCACGUUUCGACGGUAUCUAACCAGAAAGCCACGGCUAACUACGUGCCAGCAGCCGCGGUAAUACGUAGGUGGCAAGUGUUAUCAGGAUUUAUUGGGCGUAAAGGGAAUGCAGGAGGUCUUUUAAGUCUGAUGUGAAAGGCUUUGGAUUAAGCGGUGUAGUGUAUUGGAAA
rnacentral:rRNA from 1 species